AUUUUGCCUCUGUUUGUUUUAAGUUAGUGGUGGAUUAUUUCGAAAAAAUUCUAGAAAUGGGAUAAUGAAUGACUAUAAAAAAUGUAUAGAAAUAAAUAGUAAAACUACAUUUUAUAUAGCGCCUCUCAAGAUAAAACUCUAGAGGCACUACACAACAACAAAAUUAAACAUAUUUAAAAAAUUAUAUUUUUAUUUCAAAGUUUAUGAGAAAAAAAUAACACAAUUGUGUUUUUAAAAUGUAAAGAGAGAGACAGGAAAUUAUUUGUAAAGAAGGAAUUGAGUGGAUACAGAGAAAUGCGUAAUAAGUAGAGUGAGAAAAAUAAGGAGAGGGUGAUGAUGACGGCCAAUAGACGAGGUCUAUUACCUUCAAAAUGACAAAAUAUGUAUUGAUUCUAAUCAUAUUCUUGUGCUUGUAUUUUAUUUUCAUAGGGAUGAUAAUUUGGAGGAGGUGAUGGAACAAGGUGAAACUAAAAAAGAAGGAUCUUCACAAAUGUAAGUACAAGGUUGUAUCUGUAUUUGGCUGUCACAUUUGUCAGGAAAAGUAAACAAUAAUUACUUUUUUAGGUUAUCUUGUGUGGGAAUUGAAGCAAACAUUGAAAAGGAAGAGUUGAACAAUAUUCAAAACUAUGUGAUAGUCAUCAGAUGACACAUGGUCACCAAACAGAGAAACAGAAGUUGAUUCGUCUUCAGAGGAGGAUGAAACCAUCGAGAUGGACAGCGGUACUGAUGACAGCGGUGAUGAGGACUACACACCUUAUAUACACAUUAGGACUGGAGCAGCAUUACAAAAAACAUUACAACUUGAGACUCUGCAAGAAAUUAACAUAGAGGAUACAGUUCAUGACUGUAAUAUCCCAGAAGCAACUGACCGAUGUUUGACAAGCAAGAAAGGUCUUCCUCGACGCUACAAGCUAAGGCCUGAGGAUCCAAGGCGUUAUGGUUUGCUGUCCUGAGUCCCUGCACCAUCAAUAGAGGAACUUCUACAACACCUACGGACUUGCGGUGAUGGUAAAACUUUGCCACAGACAUAGGUGUUGGGGGAGGCAAGAGAAAACCCAAAACCUUCUUUAUUUUUGUUUCCUGUUUUUAUUUUUUAUUUUUAUUUUUUUAAAUAAAGAUAUAUUUUGGGGAAAUAAGGACUAAUAAUUUAAAAAUUUAUGUAAAAUGUUGGAGGUAGACAUAAUUUUUUGUUGUUGUGCAGGAGUUUUAAAAUGUAUGGUAUUUUUACAAAUGCAACACAGAGUUGUGCUUUAGAACACUUUAUUAGAGCAUCAAACAAAAAUAUAUAAAAACAAACUUAUGUAAAAUAUCAAAUAUAUACAUUUAUUUACAAUUGUCUUGGAAUAAAACCAGUGUAGUUACCAUUGGGGUCAGGGAAUUUUGCAGAAUAAACUCCUCCAUGUGUGGUACAGUUGAAAUACAGGUCUGGGGAGGCUGUUGGCAGCAUUUCUUUUCCAAAUCAGCUGGCAUAUCUCUGAAGUGGGAGCAUAAACACCAUGAAGGUUGAUUGGGUGUUGGAGGUGU